rnacentral:rRNA from 1 species
AUACGGAGGAUCCGAGCGUUAUCCGGAUCUAUUGGGUUUAAAGGGCGCGCAGGCGGCCAUUUAAGUCAGCGGUUAAAUCGUGGGGCUCAACCCCAUUCUGCCGUUGAUACUGGGUGGCUUGAUUGCGGUCGAGGUUGGCGGAAUUCGUUGUGUAGCGGUGAAAUGCAUAGGUAUGACGAAGAACACCGAUUGCGUAGGCAGCUGACCAGAUCGCAAAUGACGCUCAUGCACGAAGUGCGGGGAUCGAACAGGAUUAGAUACCCUGGUAGUCCGCACAGUAAACGAUGAAUACUUGUUUUCGGCGAUAUAAUGUCGGAGGCAAAGCGAAAGCGAUAAGUAUUCCACCUGUGGAGUACGCCGGCAACGGUUAAACUCAAAUGAAUUGACGCGG